rnacentral:rRNA from 1 species
CCAGCAGCUGCGGUAAUUCCAGCUCUAAUAGCAUAUAUUAAAGUUGUUGCAGUUAAAAAGCUCGUAGUCGAAUUUCGGGCUCGUGUGGGCGGUCGGCUUAGGUCGAAUUGCCUGUGCGGGCCUUUCUGCUUGGGAGUCCUGGUAGGUUAACCCCUAUCUGUGAGUCACAGGCCGUUUACUUUGAAAAAAUUAGAGUGUUCAAAGCAGGCUAUUGCUUGAAUAUAUUAGCAUGGAAUAAUGGAAUAGGACUUUGGUGCUAUUUUGUUGGUCAAUGGAUCUUAAGUAAUGAUUAAUAGGGACAGUUGGGGCCGUUUAUAUUUCGUUGUCAGAGGUGAAAUUCUUGGAUUUACGAAAGAUAAACUUCUGCGAAAGCAUUCGGCAAGGAUGUUUUCA